rnacentral:rRNA from 1 species
CGCGUAGGCGGUUUCUCAAGUCCGGGGUGAAAUCUUUCGGCUUAACCGGAAAAGUGCCUUGGAUACUGGGAAACUUGAGGGAGGCAGGGGCAGCUGGAACUUCCAGUGGAGCGGUGAAAUGCGUUGAUAUUGGAAGGAACUCCGGUGGCGAAAGCGAGCUGCUGGUCCUUUUCUGACGCUGAGGCGCGAAAGCCAGGGGAGCAAACGGGAUUAGAUACCCCGGUAGUCCUGGCCCUAAACGAUGGGUACUAGGUUGUAGACUUAACAUGGGUUUACAGCCGAAGCAAAAGUGUUAAGUACCCCGCCUGGGGAGUAUGGUCGCAAGGCUGAA